GCACCGGUGGGCCGGGCCUAUAGCCGGUGCCUGGCGGGGGCGCAAGCGGAACGUUGCGGUGCCCGGCCCACGGUCCGGGGCCGCGAUGGUGCAC
rnacentral:tRNA from 1 species